UACGUAGGGUGCAAGCGUUAAUCGGAAUUACUGGGCGUAAAGCGUGCGCAGGCGGCUUUGCAAGACAGAUGUGAAAUCCCCGGGCUCAACCUGGGAAACUGCAUUUGUGACUGCAUGGCUUGAGUGCGGCAGAGGGGGAUGGAAUUCCGCGUGUAGCAGUGAAAUGCGUAGAUAUGCGGAGGAACACCGAUGGCGAAGGCAAUCCCCUGGGCCUGCACUGACGCUCAUGCACGAAAGCGUGGGGAGCAAA
rnacentral:rRNA from 1 species